rnacentral:rRNA from 1 species
UACGAGGGGGGCAAAUGUUGUUCGGAAUCACUGGGCGUAAAGGGAGCGUAGGCGGGUUUCUAAGUCAGGUGUUUAAUCCCGGGGCCCAACCCCGGACAGGCACUUGAAACUGGGAAUCUUGAAUAGUGGAGAGGUCAGUGGAAUUGGGGGUGUAGCGGUGGAAUGCGUAGAGAUCGGGAAGAACAUCGGUGGCGAAGGCGCUCUACUGGACCACAACUGACACUCAGGGACGAAAGCUAGGGGAGCGAAUGGG